AUCAGCUUGUGCUGCAAGAUUAGGCUGAGUAGACCCCACCACCAAAUGCCCAAGGUCGCUUUGUGGGUUUUGAGAUUUAUCCCAGGAUGAGGCAUAACCAGGAAAUUCAGUCAGAGAUGAAGGCGAGCUAACUAGAUUCUCUGGAGAAGGAUAAACUAAGUUUCUCUUGUUCUUACCUCUUACAUCUUGUUGAGAGACAGAAGAAGAAGAAGAAGAACCUAAGUUGCUA
rnacentral:misc_RNA from 1 species